rnacentral:lncRNA from 1 species
UAAGGAGCUAUUAGACAAUAAACCCCAAAUUGGAUAGGAAAAAAGAAAAGGUUUACCAGGAUCAGAUUCUACAGGGAGCCAAGACAUGAUUUCACGAUGAACAAAAUGAAAAUGGGAUUGAGAAAUUGGAGAUUAUGAUUUAUAUCUAUCGAGAUUCGCUAAUCCCCCUUCUUCGAGCUCAUCGUCUUCUCAAGGAGGUGUUGUUGAGUCAAUCAAGAGUCUCUCCCCUCUCUCUCUAUACUGGUGUGGUCUCGACUCUCCUCGUCUUCUCGUAUAUAAACCGAGUCUAAUCGAACCGAAGCAUUAGAUGAAUUAAACCGGUAUUGACUCAAAAAAUUUAUAACAAAAAUAAGAAGCAAACCGAAUCAGACCACACUUUUAAUUCUAUUAAAAACAAUCAAACCGAACCGAGAACUGAAUGUUCUUCUCUCCAUUCACCCGUCUUUCUCAGCUACGAGUCAACAGCCGUUUUCUCUAGACCAGAAGCUGGUGUUGUUAUGCCUCAUGCCUGAACCUACUAGUCAUCAUGGCUUACAGUUCCAACUCUUAUGGUCUUGUGAAUUGAACAGUUGGCGUGGUGUUCUUGGCCACUAUAAUAAACUUUAACCAACCAGUAAUCA